GUUGCGGCAAUAUCCGCAGCCGGGCGUGAGAACCUGAAAAUACAAGGCGGUACAUUUUU
rnacentral:sRNA from 1 species